CCCCACCCUUUCUUCAAUAUUUAUCUUGUACUCAUCUUUUUUUCUUUUUCCUUUCCACUCUCCUUUCUCCCUAUUGGUUCAUUCUUUCCCGUCUUAUCUCUAUAAAAAUACGGGAGCUUUGACUCAGUUUGCUUCUCCCCAUAUAAUCAUGCUGCUGACACAUGAUUGGCCUUCUAAAGGUUUAACUCUCACUGCUAUUGGACCAUGACAAUUGGUAUGUGUG